rnacentral:rRNA from 1 species
AUGUUAGCUGACAAGGUUGUGGACCAAUGGGAUGACAGUGACACUGAAAACUCCUCUGGAAGUGCAUCAUAUCAAGUUGUUCCUUACAAGAAUGUCCAGGGAGAAAACAACUUACCUGUGUUGUCUAAAAAAAGAAAAUUCAUUAUCAGUACAUAUUCUGUGCAAUGUAGUACUUGCAAAAAAUGGAGAGUUGUACCAUCCAAACUGAAAUAUGAGCAAAUCCGAGAGAAUAUUAUACAAGUUCCUUUUUCUUGCAAAUAUGUCCAUGGGUGGAAGCCACAAGUUACAUGCCAUGAUCCAACUGAUAUAUCUGAGGAUAAUGGCAUGGCAUGGGCAAUUGAUAUCCCAUGCAUCCCUCAGACCCCUCUUGGGUGGGAAAGGAAUAUUACUCUAAGGAAUGAACAGAGCACGAGAUUCGCUGAUGUGUACUAUAUCUCUCCCGCAGGCAUAAAAAUAAGAUCCAAGAAAGAGGUUGAAAGGUAUCUUGAAGACAACCCAGACUAUGCUGCUGAUUUACAUUUAUCUCAGUUUUCGUUCAAGGUACCUAAACCUCCAAAUUGCCCUCGUCAUUCAGAGCUUAUUGAACCAACUGAAGUGCCACCUCCGGUUCACGAGGAUCCCGUGCACAACUACAUGUCGGUCCCUCAUGGAGAAGCCAAUCUUGUAACUCACAUAGCAGUGACACUAGCUCUACAAGUACCAGUGAUUCUCUCCAAAAAGAGAAAACUAAACCAGUGA